rnacentral:lncRNA from 11 species
UUGCCCUCUCCGUAGGGAAAACUUCAAUAUCGAAAGCCAAGAUUACUAUGGACCUCAUCCCACUUGGAGAUGGGGGGAGUACCCAAGGUGGUGAACAAAAUAUAGGGCUGGUAUGGUUGGAGAGCAGAACGUGUUGGUGAGUGGUUACCUAGGUCCAGAAGAUGUGGUGUCUCCAUCUUAUUUAACAGAAGCUUGUUAGCCUGACUCAACCAAUCAGGGAGCAAAAGGAGGCCUCCGCUGACUGGC